UACGUAGGGGGCAAGCGUUGUCCGGAUUUACUGGGCGUAAAGCGCGCGUAGGCGGAACGAUCAGUCCGGUCUGAAAGCCCCCGGCUCAACCGGGGAGGGUGGCUGGAAACUGUCGUUCUUGAGGGCGAGAGAGGAGGGUGGAAUUCCUGGUGUAGCGGUGAAAUGCGUAGAGAUCAGGAGGAACACCCGUGGCGAAGGCGGCGUCCUGGACCAACACUGACACUGAGGAGCGAAAGCCAGGGGAGCAAACGGG
rnacentral:rRNA from 1 species